rfam:Ciona savignyi cont_19180, whole genome shotgun sequence.
GGUCCUGUGGCCCAAUGGAUAAGGCGCCUGACUACGAAUCAGGAGAAUCCAGGUUCGAGUCCUGGCAGGAUCG